UCUUUUUUUGGAAAGCGCUUGUUACACCUCCUUCUCCGGUGGCUUGCAUGGGUAUUCCCGUGAAAAAAAAGAAAAAAACAUGAGCAUUUUGCGAGAAGUAUAAAUGCUCAUAGCACACAAUUGCGAACUCAGAACCUGCAUCAUAUCAACAUGGCACUGUUGAAGCUGUCCUGGGUAUUUGUGGUGUUCGCCGCAGUCCUGGCAGUAGGAACAACAGAACUUGGAAAGCCCUCAGUAUCUCAGCAUGUGACGCAAGACAGCCAAGUGGAUCCACCAGAGGACACUGAAGAAGUGAAAGCAGAGCUACCGCGAUCACUAUGGAGGCGUCAGAUAGUCCCGAUGCCACGCCCAUAUCAGCCUGACACAAUACCGCACCCACGUCCUUGGCCACAACCCUAUCCUCACCCAAACCCCUUUCCGAGGCCUCACCCGCACCCACUGCCCCCGUUUCCACGACCAGAUCCCAUACCCCGUCCCUUCCCACAUCCACAGCCGCGUCCCUUCCCAUUUCCACAGCCGCGUCCCUACCCAAAUCCAAUACCAAGAAGGUUUCGUCGAUCGCUGCCAUUACCUACGGAGUUCGCUGUUGACAGCCGCCCUGUAGCUGAUACGGACCUGAAGCAGGACACCACCAGUCAACACGACAGGCAAACUAGAAGCAUUGUGACCCGUUAUUGGAAGCUCCGGUGGCCGCUCCCACGCCCUCGGCAUUAGUUUCCUUAACCCAUCCCACUUCCACUCCACUUCCACAAGAUUUAGACGCUCGAUUUCGCUAAAAGAAGUACAUGACCCAAAAGCAGAAGAAUCUAGAAGGACGUUCGAAGACUUCGACGACGAGCAAGUUAAGCACAACGUUGAAGACAAGGCAGGCACAGUCCUGCAAUCGUGGCGUUCACUCGCACCUUCCGAAAAGCGUACAGCAUCUGCCCAGCUGAACGCAGUUGUGUGGAGAAAACGAAAACGUGUCUUCUUCCUACACUUGGCCCUCGCGUCAUUGGGUAACAUAGAAUUUCUGUUAACGGAAGAAACUGACAUAUAAUCUCGACACUCUGUUUCUAACGGCGAGUCGUUUGCGUCACCUGUGAGAAUAAAGUUGGUGGUUCACCA